CCUACGGGGGGCAGCAGUAGGGAAUCUUCCACAAUGGGCGAAAGCCUGAUGGAGCAACGCCGCGUGGGUGAAGAAGGUCUUCGGAUCGUAAAACCCUGUUGUUAGAGAAGAAAGUGCGUGAGAGUAACUGAUCACGUUUCGACGGUAUCUAACCAGAAAGCCACGGCGAACUACGUGCCAGCAGCCUCGGUAAUACGUAGGUGGCAAGUGUUAUCCGGAUUUUUUGGGCGUAAAGGGAGCGCAGUCGGUCUUGUAAGUCUGAUGUGAAAGCCUUCGGCUUAACCGUAGUAGUGCAUUGGAAACUGGAAGACGUGAGUGCAGAAGAGGAGAGUGGAACUCCAGGUGUAGCGGUGAAAUGCGUAGAUAUAUGGAAGAACACCAGUGGCGAAGGCGGCUCUCUGGUCUGUAACUGACGCUGAGGUUCGAAAGCGUGGGUAGCAAACAGGAUUAGAUACCCGAGUAGUC
rnacentral:rRNA from 1 species